rnacentral:lncRNA from 1 species
UCAAAUCUCAUGCACCGUAUUCCUUAAACCCUACAUACCUAAGCGGCACUAGGGAUGUCAACGGGUCGGAUUCGGGGCAGAUUUUAAAAAUCCGAACUUGAAUAUGAACCCGAAAUCCAAACCCAAACCUACUGGAUUUCAAAAAUCCAUAUCCAAUUAUCCAAAACCGAAUCCAACUAAAAACUCGAAAUCUGAACCAAAUUCGAAUAUAAAAAUCCGAACCCGAAAUAAUUAUUCCUCUUUUCAAUAUUUCAAAAUAUAUUACAUUAAAUCUAAAUUUUUAAAAUACAAAUUCAAAUAUAACAUCAAAUUUUUAUAUACAUAUCAUAUAUAAUGUAAAAUAAAUUUGGGUUCGAAUCGGAUUGGGUCAGGUAUAGUCAAAAUCCAUAUCUGUACCCUUAUCCGUCGGGUUUUUUAUUUUUGAUAUUCAUAUCCGAAAUCAUAUCCAUUUAACAUCGGAUAAAUUCGUUCCGUUCGUAUUUGGGUUCAGAUAAAAUUUCGAGUAUUCGUACCUAUUGAAAUCGCAGCAAUAUAUGAACACAGAACACAGAACACGGCCCUACUCGGACAGGACGAUUUAACGGUUUCAAAAAAAUUAAAAUACCAGUACGAUAUGAGCACCAUUAAUAAAAUAUAAUAUUAUCAUUAUAAUAAUUGGAGGUAGCCGGCUACAAUAAGUAACUCGGAUGCCUCCAUGCUACCAAGUUAUUUUCAAUUAUGCGGCUUCUAAAUCAACAAUCAGCUCCGCAAGACUUUAUCAAUACUAUUGAAAGUAUUGAAAGUAUUUAAAAACUAAAUUUCAUAAUUUCGAUAUUAUUUGGCUAGUGAUCAAAAUGUUUCAAAAUUGACAAUUUUAAUGAUCGAUAUAAUGCGUUUGUGAAUUUAAUGGUAUAAAAUAAUUCAAAUCUGAUGAAAUUUUUAUAAUUUUUUUUUUUCAUUAUAUAUGAGUAAGAUCAAUACCUCUAAUUUUAUAUUCAAAUUUUUUAUCAUUAUUUUUUAUGAGAUUUUUAUUUUUAGCCGUUUAACUUUAAACUACUUAUUUGAUAGCUAAAUGAUGUCAAAAAAUUAUGAAAUUUAGUUUUCAAAUGUUUUCGAUAGUGUAGAUCAAGUCUAAGAGAGCCGAUCAUCGAUUUGGAACCCACAUCGUUAAAAACAAUUUUGUAGCACGGAAGUCUCCGUGUUACUGAUAGUAUAGCAGCCGGACUCUAUAUUUAUCAUAUAUAAAUUAUCAACUUUAUUAAAAUAUUAUUAUAUUUUUCACAUGAAUGAAAAUUAAUAAAACUUUUGUUAAUAGUUUAUAUAUUUUUUAAAAAAUAUUUUUCACCAGACAUAAUUUAUUUAUAUUGUUCAAAAAAAUUUAUAUGCAUACAUUAAAAAGCCAAAAUAUUUAUCAUUUUAU